rnacentral:rRNA from 1 species
UACGAAGGGGGCUAGCGUUGCUCGGAAUUACUGGGCGUAAAGCGCACGUAGGCGGCUUUCUAAGUCGGGGGUGAAAUCCUGGAGCUCAACUCCAGAACUGCCUUCGAUACUGGAGAGCUUGAGUCCGGGAGAGGUGAGUGGAACUGGCGAGUGUAGAGGUGAAAUUCGUAGAUAUUCGCAAGAACACCAGUGGCGAAGGCGGCUCACUGGCCCGGUACUGACGCUGAGGUGCGAAAGCGUGGG